rnacentral:lncRNA from 1 species
GGAGUACGUUGGACCCGGCUCCGCCCUACCCCACGGGGCCGCCUGGAGAGGUGCUGGGAGCUGGGUGGAGCUUAGAGGAAUUAAACUUUGGCCCUGCGCCUCGUCCAGCCUAGGUUCCACCCUUUUCUGGGAACGUGAGUAUCAACCAAGUUUACACCCCGCCACUCCUGAGCACCGCACACCGGCUUCCUCCCAGUCCCUCAUCUGAGAACUCAUGAAGCCACUUGGAAUCCCUCUCUGCUUUGCCUGGCUCAUUCCAUGUCAAUUUCAGAUCUUCACUUCAGGUCAGCUCCAAGGAGGCUAUCCUUGCCCAUCUUCCUAAAAUAGAGCUCUCAAAACCUGGCUGUUUUCCUUCAGAGCACUGGCCUCCAAUUGCUCCGGUAGAUUGCAAAUGACCUGCUUUCUUUCUGUUCCCGGGCGUUUGGACCCCUGUCUUGGACCGCUGUCGGAUAGUAAAUCCCAAGUAAGGUACCUGCCGUCGGCAGAUUUGAGCUUUCUUCUUGGACACCUAAUACCCAGAGUCCUCCAGGCUCCGGUAGAUUGCAAAUGACCUGCUUUCUUUCUGUUCCCGGGCGGCAUCGGACCCGUCGGAGAGUAAAUCCCAAGUAAGGUACCUGCCGUUGGCAGAUUUGAGCUUUCUUCUUGGACACCUAAUACCCACAGUCCUCCAGGCUCCGGUAGAUUGCAAAUGACCUGCUUUCUUUCUGUUCCCGGGUGGCAUCGACCCGUCGGAGAGUAAAUCCCAAGUAAGGUACCUGCCGUUGGCAGAUUUGAGCUUUCUUCUUGGACACCUAAUACCCACAGUCCUCCAGGCUCCGGUAGAUUGCAAAUGACCUGCUUUCUUUCUGUUCCCGGGCUGCGUUCGGACCCCUGUCGGAUAGUAACUCCCAAGUAAGGUACCUGCCGUCGGCAGAUUGGAGCUUUCUUCUUGGAGACCUAAUACCCACAGUCCUCCAGAAAAACAAACAAAGACAUGGAUUUACUGUGCAUAUUAGCAGAUCCAUACUGGAAAAUGCAUGGAGGUUUCAUAUACACCACUUACAGGUUUCCAAAGCCACAAUUUCCUUCAUAUGUUCAAACUCUUCAGGAUGCAGAAAGGCAGUGAACUCCUCCGGAGUAGCUGUCAGGUCACCAUUGAGGUCUGCAGCUUUGAAUCUUCUCUCAUCACGUGGCAGCAUCUUUUUAAAGGUGUGAUGAUCUGAAGAAUCAUGAAACUCUGCGGGGUUUCCUAGGUUUUCAGCUCCUCAGUAGUGACAAAGCCAUACCCAUCAUUGUCGAUUCGAUCAACAAUCUUCCCUAGCCUCUCCUUGCUCUCGUCCGGGGUGAGCUCGUCGAAGUUCUUGGAGUCCUCCUUGCCCAGGAAGGCCUCGUGGUCGUACUGGAAGCUCUGGUUGUCCUCAGGGGGCCGCUCGCCCAGCUCCGAGUCGGGCCGCACCACGCGCUCUUUGCGCACCGUGGGCUUGGCCCGCAGAACCCGCGGCGCCAGCACCAGCGCCAGCAGCAGCCCCAGGGCUAACCCCAGGCGGCCACCGCGCGCCAUCGUCCCGAGGAGAGGGCGGCCGGGAGGGAGACGCUGAGCGAGCGACAACAGCGGCAGCUCGGGAAUGGGGGCUCGGAGCGCGGCGGCCAAGUUUUAUGUUAUGUAUAUUUUACAAGUAAAAAAAUUUUUUCACCUCAGCCUGAACUGAACACUAGCUGACAGACGUUUUGAUUUCUUUGACCAUCACGGAAUCGUGGCCAAGCGCGGUGGCUCACAUCUGUAAUCCCAACACUUUGGGAGGUCAAGAUGGGCGGAUUGCUUGAAUCCAGGUGUUUGAGAUCAGCCUGGGCAACAUGACAAAACCCUGUUUCUAGUAAAAAUACAAAAAUUAACCAGG